rnacentral:rRNA from 1 species
CUACGGGAGGCUGCAGUGGGGAAUAUUGCACAAUGGGCGAAAGCCUGAUGCAGCAACGCCGCGUGCGGGAUGAAGGCCCUAGGGUUGUAAACCGCUUUCAGCAGGGAAGAAAAUGACGGUACCUGUAGAAGAAGGUGCGGCCAACUACGUGCCAGCAGCCGCGGUGCACGUAGGCACCAAGCGUUGUCCGGAUUUAUUGGGCGUAAAGAGCUCGUAGGCGGUUCAGUAAGUCGGGUGUGAAAACUCUGGGCUCAACCCAGAGACGCCACCCGAUACUGCUGUGACUAGAGUGCGGUAGGGGAGCGGGGAAUUCCUAGUGUAGCGGUGAAAUGCGCAGAUAUUAGGGGGAACACCAGUGGCGAAGGCGCCGCUCUGGGCCGUAACUGACGCUGAGGAGCGAAAGCGUGGGUAGCAAACAGGAUUAGAUACCCUCGUAGUC